rnacentral:rRNA from 1 species
GACGAACGCUGGCGGCGUGCUUAACACAUGCAAGUCGAACGGUAAGGCCCUUCGGGGUACACGAGUGGCGAACGGGUGAGUAACACGUGGGUGAUCUGCCCUGCACUUCGGGAUAAGCCUGGGAAACUGGGUCUAAUACCGGAUAGGACCACUGCCUGCAUGGGUGGUGGUGGAAAGCUUUUGCGGUGUGGGAUGGGCCCGCGGCCUAUCAGCUUGUUGGUGGGGUGAUGGCCUACCAAGGCGACGACGGGUAGCCGGCCUGAGAGGGUGACCAGCCACAGUGGGACUGAGAUACGGCCCAGACUCCUACGGGAGGCAGCAGUGGGGAAUAUUGCACAAUGGGCGCAAGCCUGAUGCAGCGACGCCGCGUGAGGGAUGACGGCCUUCGGGUUGUAAACCUCUUUCAGCACCGACGAAGCGCAAGUGACGGUAGGUGCAGAAGAAGGACCGGCCAACUACGUGCCAGCAGCCGCGGUAA